AGGUAUCUUAUACGCUGCUGAAUUUCUAUAUUUAGGAGAAGUUUGCUAUCCAGGUUUAAAGGCAACAUGUUGGUUAUACCUCUAAGAAAUAUAAGGCCUAGCCAAAAAGCAGAGUCAAUUGAAAUCAGAGUCGUAAAAAAAUGGAUUGCAGUAAGUAAAUCGGGUGACCGUGAUGUCAAGAAGAGCGAUCUAUGUUACCAGUUUGUGGACAUCCAUGGUGACGGGAUAGAAGCUGUAGGAAAGGCUGGUCAGGUUGAGUACUUUGACUCCAUCAUAAGGUUACAGUCAUGUUACAAAGUAACCGGAUACGUUUGCACCAAGGCACGUGAUUUUAUGGCUACUGUCAACCAUUCUGCAUCGCUCAUCAUUGGUAAAAAGGC